rnacentral:lncRNA from 1 species
GCAAAGAGCCAGCGCAUCACCUGAUCCCUCCUCUUCUCUAAAGGGAAAGCACCUCUGCUUUGGGGCCAGGGAACGAGAAUCUCCACGUCGCCAUCACUGCGAGGGUCCUUGGAUUUCUGCAUGCUGGGCAUUGGAGUGUAACUCUUUUCAGAUAUGUCUUCUUCUCCCAGGAAAGGUGCGGUGGCCUCAGUGAUGUACACUGUGGUCACCCUUAUGCUGAAUCCCUUCAUCUGCAGUCUGAGGAACAGGGACAUUAAAAACACUUUAAAGAGGCUCCACAGCAGAAUAGUCUAAUCAGAAGACCUGUGGCAUCCAUCCGGAAUACAGGUUAUAGAAGUUAGAAGACUAAACAUCUAGAACUGUAAUAUUGCCACCUUGCUUAUAAUAUUUUUAUUGUGUGCAUGCUUUAAUGUCUCAUAUUGUUUACAAGUAAAUGGUGAUAUCCAAAUUGGGGAAUGAAGGCAUCAGGAGCUUCUAAUAUGUGGACAAAUUUUGAAUUUGAC